AUUGAACGCUGGCGGCAUGCCUUACACAUGCAAGUCGAACGGUAACAGGUUAAGCUGACGAGUGGCGAACGGGUGAGUAAUGUAUCGGAACGUGCCCAGUCGUGGGGGAUAACUGCUCGAAAGAGCAGCUAAUACCGCAUACGACCAGAGGGUGAAAGCGGGGGAUCGCAAGACCUCGCGCGAUUGGAGCGGCCGAUAUCAGAUUAGGUAGUUGGUGGGGUAAAGGCCUACCAAGCCGACGAUCUGUAGCUGGUCUGAGAGGACGACCAGCCACACUGGGACUGAGACACGGCCCAGACUCCUACGGGAGGCAGCAGUGGGGAAUUUUGGACAAUGGACGCAAGUCUGAUCCAGCCAUGCCGCGUGCGGGAAGAAGGCCUUCGGGUUGUAAACCGCUUUUGUCAGGGAAGAAACGCUCUGGGUUAAUACCUCGGGGUAAUGACGGUACCUGAAGAAUAAGCACCGGCUAACUACGUGCCAGCCGCCGCAGUAA
rnacentral:rRNA from 1 species